rnacentral:rRNA from 1 species
GACGAACGCUGGCGGCGUGCCUAAUACAUGCAAGUAGAACGCUGAAGGAGGAGCUUGCUUCUCUGGAUGAGUUGCGAACGGGUGAGUAACGCGUAGGUAACCUGCCUGGUAGCGGGGGAUAACUAUUGGAAACGAUAGCUAAUACCGCAUAAGAGUAGAUGUUGCAUGACAUUUGCUUAAAAGGUGCAAUUGCAUCACUACCAGAUGGACCUGCGUUGUAUUAGCUAGUUGGUGGGGUAACGGCUUACCAAGGCGACGAUACAUAGCCGACCUGAGAGGGUGAUCGGCCACACUGGGACUGAGACACGGCCCAGACUCCUACGGGAGGCAGCAGGAGGGAAUCUUCGGCAAUGGACGGAAGUCUGACCGAGCAACGCCGCGGGAGGGAAGAAGGUUGUCGGAUCGUAAAGCUCUGUUGUAAGAGAAGAACGAGUGUGAGAGUGGAAAGUUCACACUGUGACGGUAUCUUACCAGAAAGGGACGGCUAACUACGUG